AGUGAACGCUGGCGGUAGGCCUAACACAUGCAAGUCGAACGGCAGCACAGUAAGAGCUUGCUCUUACGGGUGGCGAGUGGCGGACGGGUGAGGAAUACAUCGGAAUCUACUUUUUCGUGGGGGAUAACGUAGGGAAACUUACGCUAAUACCGCAUACGACCUACGGUUGAAAGCAGGGGAUCUUCGGACCUUGCGCGAUUGAAUGAGCCGAUGUCGGAUUAGCUAGUUGGCGGGGUAAAGGCCCACCAAGGCGACGAUCCGUAGCUGGUCUGAGAGGAUGAUAAGCCACACUGGAACUGAGACAGGGUCCAGACGCCUACGGGAGGCAGCAGUGGGGAAUAUUAGACAAUGGGCGCAAGCCUGAUCCAGCCAUACCGCGUGGGUGAAGAAGGCCUUCGGGUUGUAAAGCCCUUUUGUUGGGAAAGAAAAGCAGCAGGUUAAUACCCCGCUGUUCUGACGGUACCCAAAGAAUAAGCACCGGCUAACUUCGUG
rnacentral:rRNA from 1 species